GGUGGUUCUCAGGUGAUGCACCCCGGAAUCGGGCUCCCUUCUCUCUGGUUCUGGGUGUGUCACCCGAGAACCACA
rfam:Myotis davidii contig191891, whole genome shotgun sequence.